AGAGCGAACGCUGGCGGCAGGCUUAACACAUGCAAGUCGAGCGCCCCGCAAGGGGAGCGGCAGACGGGAGAGUAACACGUGGGAACGUACCUUUCGGUUCGGAACAACCCAGGGAAACUUGGGCUAAUACCGGAUACGUCCGUAAGGAGAAAGAUUUAUCGCCGAAAGAUCGGCCCGCGUCUGAUUAGCUAGUUGGUGAGGUAACGGCUCACCAAGGCGACGAUCAGUAGCUGGUCUGAGAGGAUGAUCAGCCUCACUGGGACUGAGACACGGCCCAGACUCCUACGGGAGGCAGCAGUGGGGAAUAUUGGACAAUGGGCGCAAGCCUGAUCCAGCCAUGCCGCGUGGGUGAUGAAGGCCCUAGGGUUGUAAAGCCCUUUCGGCGGGAAGAUAAUGACGGUACCCGCAGAAGAAGCCCCGGCUAACUUCGUGCCAGCAGCCGC
rnacentral:rRNA from 1 species